GUGAUGUUUGUUUAUUUUUUUUAACUUUUUACUAAAAACAGUUUAUUUUCAUAUUUUAAAUUGUUUAUUUAUUUUUAUUUUUUGUUAAUUUAUUAUUUAUUUGCUUAUUUUUUAAUUGAAUAGAAAAUUUUAAAAUAUUUUAUUUUUUCUAAAUGUUAAAAUGAACAUAUUAUUAUUACUUUAUUAUUUUUAAUAUUUAAUAAAAAUAUAAAUAAUAAAAUUUUUAAGACUAUUUAAUUUCAAUUUCUAUUUGAAAUUAAGUCAGACAAACAAAUACCUCUAGCUCCAAACUAUUUUUUACUUUUCU
rnacentral:lncRNA from 1 species